GUUUAGGACCAUGUUUGACUGUCCUUUUAUUACCCAGAUGAUCGAAGUCUCUGGUUCACAUCUUUCGCUCUUCUGCUCUCCACCUGUGAGUCGUGAUUAGUGACUCACUUCUCCUUCCUUUGCAUUUGAAUUCCAGAGAAAAUGAUGGCUACCCAUAUUAGCAGUGGUGCUUGUCUCUCUGUUUUCUGUCAGAGGAAGGGAAUUUACAGAGUGAGAGCUGUAGCUUCUGAGAGUGCUCCUGCUGCUUCGAAAAUCGAGGAAGAGAAGGUGAAAUUGGGAGGAUCUGAUUUGAGGGUGACAAGGCUUGGAAUUGGAGCUUGGUCAUGGGGUGACAACAGCUACUGGAACAACUUUGAGUGGGACGGUAAACUCACUGCUAUUUUUUUUAUUUUUUGUAAUCGUAUUGAUUGGAGCAUUUUGGGCCAAAUUUAGAAGCUAAAUCAUAUUUGACUAGAGCCCUGUGAUUGUUUCUCCAUAUACUUGCUAGAGAAACAUUCGGCGUUGGGAAUUCUUCACAUUUUAUGGAUUUUGGAAUUUUUUGUGAAUUGAAGGAUUCGUUGGUAUCAGAUUAAUUUUAUUGUAGAAUCAGUGUUUGAUAUGCAGAUGGUAGAGUUUUAACGUCUCCUUGUGCUUUAUGAUGAUGACAGACAGGAAAAUGAAGGAUGCUAAGUCUGCUUUUGAAACUAGUGUUGAUUGUGGUAUAACCUUUUUUGAUACCGCUGAAGUUUAUGGCUCUAGGCUCUCACUUGGUGCUGUAAAGUCAGAAACUCUUCUGGGAAGAUUCAUCAAGGAAAGGAAAGAAACAGAUCCUGAAUUGGAGGUUGCUAUUGCAACAAAGUUCGCAGCUUUGCCUUGGAGGCUAGGACGUCAGAGUGUCUUAACUGCCCUUAAGGAUUCCAUUUGUCGCCUUGGAGUUUCUUCAGUAGAGCUUUAUCAACUGCAUUGGCCUGGAAUAUGGGGAAAUGAAGGGUAUCUUGACGGCCUUGGAGAUGCAGUGGAGCAGGGCCUUGUGAAGGCAGUUGGCGUUUCAAACUACAGUGGUAAUCUUCUAAAUUCUGUUGUCUAAACUGUGAAAAGGGAUUUGACAAUUAUAGUUGGGUUAGUUUUGUCUUCCCCAUCCUCAGCCCCUUAUCCUACCCAUACACACACACACACUCAAAAAAGAAGCUUAGUAUAGAAUGCACAUGAUGGAGUUUCUAAGUAAUCAACAUUACUUGGAUUUUUCCUGGACGCUAUGAUGCAUAUAGUUUCUUAAUUCAGAAAGCCGACUUCGUGAUGCUUAUGAGAGGCUUAAGAAAAGAGGUAUUCCAUUGGCUUCAAACCAAGUGAAUUACAGCCUAAUAUAUAGGGCACCAGAGGAGAAUGGAGUGAAGGCAGCCUGUGAUGAACUUGGGAUCACUUUGAUUGCAUAUUCUCCCAUUGCUCAAGGAGCUCUUACAGGAAAGUAUACACCAGAAAAUCUUCCAACUGGCCCUCGAAGCAGAAUUUACACACCAGAGUUUCUAAUAAAGGUAAGUGUAAUACCCAAUCAACAUUGUAUACUAGUAGAGGAAUAUCUUGAGUAUAAGCAUUUGAGUCAUCUACUGCUAUCAAAAUAAAACGAAAGCUUAAACUGUUAGGUCAUAGUGGCUGGCUCAAACAGUUAGAGUCAGGAGGCUACUCAAGGCAUGUGGGUUCUAAGGUGUAUUGGUAAUGCCAUAUGCAUUCACGUUAGCCAUUUAUAGGAAUUCUGCCAUUAAUUGUGACAUCACAUGACAAGGAUGUUAUACCAAGGACAGAAAGAAAUAGUUUUGUUUUGCUGUUCUGACUUCUGUUGAAUAGAAAUAUUGUAGCUUUAAAUUUAUAAUCCAUAGCUGAAGCAUGCUUGUAUAUUGCAGCUCCAACCUCUACUGAACAGAAUCAAGGAAAUAGGAGAGAACUACAAUAAAACUCCCACACAGGUUCAACCUUGUUCUUUAAGACUUCAAUCAAUGUGUUUCCUUCAAGCUUGUGUUCCAUGAAAAGUACCAAUAAUUGUUGCUUCAAGCCUGUGUACCUGUGUAAGCACGACUAACACUGAAUAGAGAAAAUAAUGGUACUUUUGUAAGCUAGAUUUCUCUAUACAGGUGGCCUUGAACUGGCUAAUAGCACAGGAGAAUGUAGUUCCAAUCCCAGGAGCCAAAACUGCAGAACAGGCCAAGGAAUUUGUAGGUGCACUUGGGUGGAGACUCACAAGCGAAGAGAUCAAUGAGCUGCGCUCAAUGGCAUUGGAGAUACAACCUGUUAUUGGCUUCCCUGCUGAAAAGUUAUAAAUUUUAUUCAUGCAUUUAAGUAAAUGCAAGUCUGGCAAUUCUGUAGUAACUCAUUGAUCUCCUACA
rnacentral:misc_RNA from 1 species